rnacentral:lncRNA from 12 species
AUGCAAGGGAGAUUUAUCUGCCCUAGAAUGGACAAAUUACAACCAAGAAUCCUGAGCAAGCAGGAUUCUAAAUACAAGACUCUACAGAAGAUGAGGCUGAAAAUCUGUUCACCGAAUGGAAAAAGUCCACAGGCUUUGCCAGACUGCCAAAGAUCCGGAUACCUGAAGCCCUGGAUUAAAGAAACAGGCAAACUAUGGAGAAGCCAGCCUGGUCCUUACAAGUCUGUCAGAAGGAUCCAGGCUGCCACCUAUGAGGCAGGAGGAAGCUAAGAAAGGUGACAGGGAAAGAAGGACCCUCCAGGUGCAAUGAGCUUUUAACCCGUUCCUCCUUGGUGUCUACUGGUAUAGACUGCAGCUUGUACCCUGUGGCCACCACUCUGCCAGACAGAAACCACAGGGCCAGGCCUAGACUGGGACGCAAGAGCUGAGGGUCCAUCUUCUGGAGACUGGACCAAGUGUCCAGCCUCAGACCUGCAUAUCUCCAGGCCAGCAACCCACCUCUGGUCACUUGGCCAGCCGUCCUUCUUAGGCACCACAUUUCCAUAGGCUGGAAUGAGAUAGUCACACUUGCUGACAAGCAAAAGAUGAAUUCCUUCAUAGAGGACCCGAGAAGGGCAUGCAAAACUCAUAUUAAAAAGAGCAAUCCUUCAUUCCAAGCUGAUGGGCCAGCACUGUGCAAAGCCAUUUACUCAUCUUCACAAAAAAACCUACAGAGAUGGGAUUUUUUUCCAAUAUCCAUGUUAAUAUCUCUGCUUUCCAGAUGAAGAAAAAGAGGUUUGGCAAGGUCAGUAUCUGUUACUAUUAUGUAUUAUUAGUGUUAUUAAUAACUAAUUGUGGAUUAUGAGUAUUAAUGUGGAUUCUAAUUUUACCUUCCAUACUGUUUCAUGUAGUAUUUGAAUCAUAAUCAUUAUUAAUUACAAAUAAUAUUCGAAAUAGCCAAUAGUAAUAAGAAUAGUAAGUAUAUUGCAUCUUGCCAUGUACCAGACCAUAGAGGGCAUACUCUACUCUCAUUUCCUCAUAUAAUCUUUGCACAACCUUCUAUUAUUAUGGUUCCUUUGUAGAUGAGGAAGUCAGGGACUGAAGAACGUGUCCUAGGUCCCACAGAGGAACUAGCUAUUCCUUAGAAGAUCUGAAUCCAGGCUUCUGACAGAAGGUUCACAUUCUUUUCCUUGUAUCAGGGCUCCUGGUCCUCAUUGUACCACUUAUGUUAAUGCCCCUCUAGACAUACAGAUGCUCCGCUAAUUGGUAUUAUGGAAACUUCCAGGGAAAGGGAGUGGGAGGUCUCACCAUCUCAGAAGAGCGGAGCCAUUGGAGCAGUUUUUUGCAGACUUCCCCUUACUCUCCCCCCAGGUCUUCUGCAACUUGAGUCAGCAGCUAAGCAAAAGCCACAAAGAGAAUCCCAGGAGGUGUGGUGUGACCAGGAAUAAACACAGGAAGGGAACAUUUGAACCA